rnacentral:lncRNA from 1 species
GUGGGUCGCUCCUCAGAGUACGUUAGUCAUACACUGGGCGUUCGUGGUGGCGCACGUACGUGUCCCGUGUCACUCUUGAUUUUCGUGUACACGUUGGUCGGUUUUGUGGAAGGGAGCAGAAAACAAUCAAACAAACAAACAAACAGAAACGAAUCCGUAUCUCAAGCAUCUACGAUAAGAACUAUUAGAAGAGUCGAGAAAAGAUACAACGUCGUCUAAGAUAACACAAGCAGUGGAGUCACCCUCGGCACAAGUAGACACACGCCUUCCUUCGGUCUUACGUCUUCCCAAAUCUCCUCAGGGCGUGAGAACGAGAGAGAAAGAUAGAGAAAGAGAGAGAGAGAGAGAGAGAUAAAGAGGGAAAAAGAGAGGAAAACCCGGACGUGAGAUCGAGAGA